GACAGAGGAUGCAAGCGUUAUCCGGAAUGAUUGGGCGUAAAGCGUCUGUAGGUGGCUUUUUAAGUCCGCCGUCAAAUCCCAGGGCUCAACCCUGGACAGGCGGUGGAAACUACCAAGCUGGAGUACGGUAGGGGCAGAGGGAAUUUCCGGUGGAGCGGUGAAAUGCGUAGAGAUCGGAAAGAACACCAACGGCGGAAAGCACUCUGCUGGGCCGACACUGACACUGAGAGACGAAAGCUAGGGGAGCGAAUGGGAUUAGAACCAGUACCGUCAGAUCCAAGCCAUCCUCG
rnacentral:rRNA from 1 species